rnacentral:tRNA from 1 species
CAGUAAGUAUUUUAAUUAAGAAUAUUAGUUUUGGAGACUAAAGAUGAGUUUAUUUUCUUUACUGA